ACUUGGCACCAUGGUCCCCACGACCCAGCCUCGAUUCUGACUUUCUCUCGGAUUACGUGCUGCGUGCCCAACCCUCAUCCACACCUUCACCCCGGCUGUGUUCCAGGCUUGAGGAUGUAACAGCCAAGGAGACGGCCAGAACCCCAGCUCCCACGGGAACAGUGUCUCAGCGGGGGAAACAGCAGCCAACAGGCAAACAGUACGUGGCUGUGCACCGCGCACUCACACACGCCACAGCGCCAGAGCUUAGGAGACCGCUAUGAGGACAGCGUCUCAGACAGUGUGGUCCUGGGGGGCUUCCCUGAGGAGGUGACCCACAGACAGAGGCCAGCAUUCCCGUGUGUGCCAGGCCGGGCCCACGGCCCGGUCCCAGCAGCGGCCAGAUCAGACAGCGGGUGACCUUUGACCAGCCCCUUGGUGGUCUCUGCCCUGGAUAAAAUCGUCAGCCUGCCGCCAUCUCCAUCACCUGACAACGCUGCAGCUGGGUAGCAACAACUACCGGGGAAGGGACAGGCAUCCCCCCACCCUGAAGCUGAGAGGUCCCCCAGAGCCACACAGCCUGGGGGCAGCAGCAACAGAGCCCACGCGCAGAGCCCACACUCUGACCACUGGUGGUGAGUGAGGGCACAGCCCCCGGAACGUGGGGUGAGGCCUGGGGAUUCAUUGCCAAGCUCAGCACGUGGGCCACAGCACGAGGAACAAAGCCCAGAGACCGUGGCCUUGUCCUCAGCUGCUCUCCACUGCCCCCGGCCCCACCCCGGGGCGCCUCCAGAUGUACCUGCUCCCCUGAAGGGGGGCCGCCCCCCACCCUGUCUCUGCUCUCAGAACUGGGGAGACGCCGCAGGCUUCAUUGUCUGCGCACAACCAGCACCCAGGUGGAGUCCGCCCCUCGGCGCCCUGUGACGCUGUGGGCCAUGUGGUCAGAAUCCUCCGACCAGACUUCGACAGUGUCUGGCGCCACGCUUACAGGUCUCGGCCUCCCCCACCUGUGAGAGGCCCCGAGCAGGCGUCACCAGCAAGAGGUUCCCAGGGCUCAACAAAGGUGGAAGACAAAGAUGGAAAACGUGCGCGCAUCACGGCAGCAGGGCCCAGACGCCCUUCGGUGACAAACAUCGUCCGACGGCUCCCUCCCAGCGCCCGAGAGGAACGCCACGGGGAACACGGACGGCGGCCUCUUCCGCGCCUCCGGAGCCCAGUGCCCUGCCCACCUGAGGGCCUCUCCCCGCCUCUGCCAAAGGACACGAGCAGAGGGCAGGGCAGCGAGUGCGCGUUUUACCCCCAACGUCAGCCACUCCCAGACUCCACCCAUCCGCCCCUUAAGCCCCAGGUUUAAAAAAACAAAAACAAAAACAAAGCUGAGAUUUUUAAAAAUAAGCCAAGUCAAGGGGUGGGGACGUGGCGGGACACAGGUUAAGCCACCCUUGGGGGGCCUGCAUCCCGUGGGGCGUCCCUGGGAUCGAGUCCCGCCUCUGCCGCCCAUCCAGGUGCCAGGUAACGCACCGGAGAGCAGCAGGUGACGGUGCAAGUGCUUGGUGCCUUCCUACCCACAUGGGAGACCUGGAUGGCACUUUUGGCUCCCGGUUUCAGCCUGGCUCAGUCUUGGACUAUAUGGGCAUUCGGGGAGUGAACCAGUGGA